GGAUGCGAUCAUACCAACACUAACGCAUCGGAUCCCAUCAGAACUCUGAAGUUAAGUGUGUUUGGGCGAGAGUAGUACUAGGAUGGGUGACCCCGGGAAGUCCUCAUGUUGCAUCCC
rfam:Capsicum annuum cultivar Zunla-1 chromosome 10, whole genome shotgun sequence